rnacentral:rRNA from 1 species
AGCAGCCGCGGUAAUUCCAGCUCCAAUAGCGUAUAUUAAAGUUGUUGCAGUUAAAAAGCUCGUAGUUGAAUUUCGGGAUUGGCGCAUCGGUCGUGCCUCACGGGGUAUGAACUGGUGCAGUCAAUUUCUCACCUUCUGGAGAACCGCGAUGUCCUUAAUUGGGUGCCGCGGGGAACCAGGACCUUUACUUUGAAAAAAUUAGAGUGUUUAAAGCAGGCAUUUUUGCUUGAAUACAUUAGCAUGGAAUAAUAAAAUAGGACGGCAUGGUUCUAUUUUGUUGGUUUCUAGGACCACCGUAAUGAUUAAUAGGGAUAGUUGGGGGCAUUAGUAUUCAAUUGUCAGAGGUGAAAUUCUUGGAUUUAUUGAAGACUAACUACUGCGAAAGCAUUUGCCAAGGAUGUUUUCAUUAAUCAAGAACGAAAGUUAGGGGAUCGAAGACGAUCAGAUACCGUCGUAGUCUUAACCAUAAACUAUGCCGACUAGGAAUCAGACGAUGUUAAUUUUUAAUGACUCGUUUGGC